rnacentral:lncRNA from 1 species
AAUCAUACUAAAAAGAAAAAUCUAAAACUAAUAUACGGAAAAAUAAAGUGAAGGAUGAACCUGAGUGAAGCUAAGGGUGGUAAACAGGGUCUGCAAGGGGAAUUUCUUCCACUGCAGGCACCGAUUGCCCAAAAGCUAUUUUGAGACGCUGUCCAUUCACUUUGAACACUCUACCAUCAUUAGGAUCCUCAAUUUCAACUGCUCCAUUUUCAAAGACUUGUAGUACCACAAAGGGACCAGUCCACCUAGAACGAAGUUUUCCAGGAUGCUUGUGGAGUCUAGAAUAAUACAGGUAUACUUUUUGAUUUGGUUCAAAAGUUUUUCUCAAAAUGUUUUUAUCAUGAAAAGCUUUCAUUUUUUCCUUAUAGAUUCUAGAACUCUCAUAGGCCGCAUUUCUCAACUCCUCUAACUCAGCCAACUAAAAUUUCCUAAGCUUACCUCCC